UUAAAUGGCCGCAGUAUUUUGACUGUGCAAAGGUAGCAUAAUUAUUAGUUUUUUAAUUGAAAGCUUGUAUGAAGGGUUGGACGAGAUAAAAUCUGUCUUUAUUUAAAUUACAAUAGAAUUUAACUUUUAAGUCAAAAGGCUUAAAUGUAUAUAAAAGACGAGAAGACCCUAUAGAUCUUUAUUUAAUUAAUAUUUUGAUAAUUUAAGAUUAUUUUAGUUUAAAGUUUUAAUUAAAUUUUAUUGGGGUAAUAUAAAGAUUAAAUAAAUUCUUUUUAUUUAUUACAUUGAUUUAUGAAUAUAUGAUCCAAUAUUAUUGAUUAUAAGAUUAAGUUACCUUAGGGAUAACAGCGUAAUUUUUUUGGAGAGCUCAUAUCGAUAAAAAAGUUUGCGACCUCGAUGUUGGAUUAAAAAUUAGCUUGGGUGCAGAAGCUCAAGAUUUUGGUCUGUUCGACCAUUAAAUUUUUACAUGAUCUGAGUUCAGACCGGCGUAAGCCAGGUCGGUUUCUAUCUUUAUUUAUCUAAAAUAUUUUAGUACGAAAGGACCAAAUAUUUAAUAUAAUUAUAUUUAUUUUUUGAAUAAUAUU
rnacentral:rRNA from 1 species